AGUAAUUAAAAUUAUUAAACAAAGCACAAAUAAUAAAAGAAUUGAAGAUGAACCCAGCUGUGAUAGAGAAAAAAAUAAAUAAUAAAAAAAUAUUGUUUUCUUAUCUUACAAAGAAAAAGGCCAAAAAAAAAAAAUUGAUGGGAAAAGCCAACCCUUUUAAGCGUUUGCUGCUUUCAAUAUUAAAAAAAAAAAAACUUUUUUUUCUUACAAAGAAAAAGGUGAAAAAAAAUUAAUGGGGGAAAAACCAACGUUUUUAAGCAAUCAAAACGUUGACUUUGGUGUUUUUUAUUAAAAUAAAAAAACCUUGUUUUUCUUAUCUUACAAAGAAAAAGGCAAAAAAAUUUGAUGGAAAAAAAUCAACACUUUUAAGCAAAAUGUUUUCAAUAUUAAAAAAAAAAAUUAUUUUUCUUACAAAGAAGAAAGCUAAAAAAAAUUGAUGGGAAAAAGCAUUUAAAAGUGUUGGCUAUGAUACUUUCAAUAUUUAAAAAAAAGUUGAUAGGAAAAAAAAAUUGAUAAAGAAAAACCAAUGCUUUAAAAAAACAAAAGGUCGAAUUUAAUGCUUUCAAUAUUUAUUAAAAAAAAAAAAAAACCUGUUUCCCUUAGAGAGAAAAACAGUAAAAAAAUAAAAUAAAAAAAAUAAUUUGAUGGAAAGCCUACUCUUUUAAUGUUUAAAAGCAAAGCAUUUGCUUUUGUUGCUUUCAAUAUUAAAAAGAAAAAAAGGAAAAAAUAAAAAAUAAAAAGACUCUAGUUGAACUUGUAGCUAGAAACAGCUUGCGGAAUCCAGCGAGAAUGGUGUCGGCGAUGUCGUUUGCAACAGUCCUUUGUCUUGUGCAGCCCGUUUCCAACGAUCGGUGCAAUACAAAUAGUUGGCCGCAUAUCUGUCUGAGAGUUGGUUCAAAACCCAAUUCCUUGAUGGCAAAGUCGUUGAGGUUGAAUCCAAACCAUGAAUUCGCAUAUGGGUUCCCCAUGUUUCCACGGUUUGUUGUCUCUUGCAAACCUAAUUCGCCUCUAGCUCCAUCUCCAUCUCCAAAUGUAAGUGGCAGAGGAACAAAUAUGUUGGUGUAUCCCUUGUUGGAAAAACACUGGCAGUGAUGGGCUUUGGAAAAGUUGGAUUCGAAGUUGCUCGGCGAGCUAAGGGGCUAGGUAUGCAUGUCAUAGCACAUGAUCCAUAUGCCCCGGCUGAUCGUGCCCGUGCCAUAGGUGUGGAUCUUGUGAGCUUUGAUGAAGCCAUAUCUAAAGCUGAUUUUAUCUCUUUGCACAUGCCUCUUACUCCUUCUGCAAAUGAGAUUCUCAAUGAGGAAACUUUUGCCAAGAUGAAGAAAGGGUCCGAAUUGUGAAAGUUGCAAGUAGAGGAGUUAUUGAUGAAGAUGCUCUUGUGAAGGCACUGGAUUCUGGAAUUGUUGCACAGGUAUUUUUCUGAUAUUGCAAGGAAAAAUACCUAGUCAAUGACAUUAAGGCCAGCGGAACAGCUAGAGAAAUUGCUGAAGGUAUUGCCAAGUUCUGUAAACAAAGGCAAACAUUAUAUGUUAAGAAAGGUGAAAUUUCUUCAAGUAUGAUAACCUCUCUCUCUAUAUAUAUAUAUUUCAAGUGGUCUGGGAACUGAUAUUAAGAAUAGGAUACGGAUGCUUAGGAAGUUGUAAUUGAAGAGCUUAUAGAUUGUAAACUUUCCUUGUGACUUCAACGCACAGUUUUGAAUGUUAACACCACUAAAGUGACCAACAUUUAUGGUC